CCACGAAUUGUUGAGAGACCUACAGGAGAUGGAUGUUUAGCAGCUGUAUGUUCAUCUAGGCUCCAACUACUUUCUCGGUCAGUCCAGACACGUUGUCUUGUGCGAAGUGCUUCCUCGGUGUGCAGAUUACAGACAAGGUUGUUGGAUACCAGAAUGACGUCUGACUGCCAUGCAGAAAUGGAUUAAACGAGCCAACUCACUACUUCAGGACUACUGUCUUUGGUGGACAAAACAUGCUGAUCAAAAAGAAUGUGUACCACAGGGGCCGGUGUUUUCAUUUGAGUGAUUGACAAAAAGAAGAGAUGAGAAAUGUUAUCAUCAUAUUGUACACUCGACAUUUAAAGUGUACAGCUCAAUCAUGUAUUGAACUGGUGUUGUAGAAUAUAAUUGGAGAUACAUGUGAACAUUCUAACAUUAUAUAUAAGAUGAUAUUUCAAAAGGAAUAAGUUAUAAAAAGUAUAAAAAGGUAAAAAAAAACAGUAGACCAUGUGUUUCAGAGGUUUAAACUAAGUGCAGUGAAAGUGACUAGUUAACUGUUGAUCAAAAGCUACACUGAAAACUGUUAAACCUUGGACAACAGUUGUGGAACUUUAUAAAUGACUGUAUAUAACAGGGCAGGGCAGUUUUCCUUAUAUAGCUAUAGUGACACCUUUUGAACACUAGUGAAGUCAAAUUUUUUUUUUACAAUCUUCAUGCAUUUUGGGCGAAUAUUUGUUCUAAUGACUGCUCAGUCCAGUUUUUAAAUUGUUAUGUCUAUUCAAAAAACAUAUCCACCAGAGCGCUAGGCAAUUUUCUUUAUAUGGCUAUAAUGAAACCUUGUAAAUUCUGUAGAAGUCACAUUUUUAGCCCAAUCUUCAUAAAUUUUGGUCGGAAUAUUUAUUCUAAUGAUAGCUCAGUUGUCAAGUUUGUAACUGGUUCCGGUUUGUCGACUAACAUGGCUGCCAGUGGACACAGCAGUUUUUCUUACAUUGCUAGAGUAGAACAUUUUUAACACACAAUUGACCCUUUUUAUGUGCAUUCUUCAUGAAAGAUGAUUAGAGCAUUUGGCCCAAUGUAAUCUGAGCUGACUUUGAAACUGGAUCACAUAAGGUCAAAAAAUGGGUCAAAAUGUCAAAUUAAAAAAAGCUUGUAAACACUGAAAGUCGCAUUUGAAAUUUUGUUCCUUUUUUUAAAGUUUGUCAAAACAUUUGCUGUAAUGUAAUGCAAGUCAAGUUUAAAAAUGAUUAUUUGCCUACAAAUUACAUAUUUUUAUGUCCCCCACCACGUAUAGUGGGGGACAUAUUGUUUUUGCCCUGUCUGUUGGUUGGUUGGUUUGUGUGUUUGUUUGCUCCAACUUUAAAAUGUGCCAUAACUUUUGCAAUAUUGAAGAUAGCAACUUGAUAUUUAAAUUGCAUGUGUA